rnacentral:sRNA from 1 species
UAACCGUUAACUAUUAAAUCGCUCCGGUCAAACGUUAGCCCUAGACGUCACGAAGCUUCCCACAAAAUAUCGUCCUGAUCGGAAAACAGACGAGACCACGAUCUCAAUUUCAAUCCCCGCUGGUCCUAAUUCGCGUCUGAGAAAACGUGUCUCACGAAACUGCGAAUAACUCAACCAAUUGUAAUCCAAAUCAAGUUCUGUAAACUGGAGAAUAACAAUAAACGACUUGGAAAUAACUCUACCUAAUUUUGUUACCUUUUACCACGAUUUGAUAUGACGAAACAGAUUUCUCCCAAACCCUAACGAUUCUGCUCAUUCUCCUUCUCUCUCUUUUUCUCCUUUAUAAAACGAAAAGUGGCUAACUAAAACCCUAAUUUCGAGUUUCUUUCUUUUAUAUGCACACUAUAGGGUUUCCAAUUAACCCAACCAAUUAAACCGGACGAUUUAAAAACAAACCCUAACCGAUUUUCCGGUUCACGGGCGUUACAAUUGAAACAAACCCUAACCGAUUAUCCGGUUCACGGGCGUUACAUCUGCCGCAUGGAAAUCAUCGGGAUCACUGUACACGCUGUAAUAUUAGCAUCUUUGAGGGCAUCCGUCCGGUAGACUAUGUUUCUUCCACGAGGCCUUGAAGUUAAGAGAGGUCUGAGGUACCACCAACAUUUGUUAGCCAUUUUUGGCUAUCUUGGCUAGCAAAUCGUCAGGUAUAUUUGGUGUAGACAUAUCUUAGAAUUACGUAUU